GAAGACGUUCCCUAAUUAAUUUAAUCAUAAGGAGAGACAUGGUGAUGAGAAGUGUCUUCCACCCCCAUAACUAAUCUAUUGAACCAAUCAAGAUAAUCUAAGUUUCAAUGAUCAAUCCAAACAACCAAAGUGGAUCCAUAUCUUCAACUAGACUUUUCUCGUAUUGAUUUCCUCUUUUAUUUUAAUUAUUUGCUUUCUAUUAUUACUCUCAUUAUUAGUUACUACAAUCAAUCUCAAACCCCCCAUUUUACUUUUACUGCAAUUUAUUUUUGCUUUCAGUUUAUCUCGUUUGAUCCCACUUUCAGUUUUUAUCUCACUUUUAGUUUAUUUUCUUUGUCAUAAAAAGAGAAAUAGGUGAGUUCUCAAUUCUCUAUGGAUUCGAUCCUUUCACCACUAUCUACAAGUGUAAAUUUGUUGAUAACCAGAAAGGUUAUUUUUGACCGGCUUCGACAACCGC
rnacentral:lncRNA from 1 species